rnacentral:rRNA from 1 species
ACGGGAGGCAGCAGUGGGGAAUGUUGGACAAUGGGGGAAAGCCUGAUCCAGCGACGCCGCGUGAGUGAAGAAGGAUUUCGGUAUGUAAAGCUCUGUCAGCAAGGAAGAAAAUGACGGUACCUGACUAAGAAGCUCCGGCUAAAUACGUGCCAGCAGCCGCGGUAAUACGUAUGGAGCAAGCGUUAUCCGGAUUUACUGGGUGUAAAGGGAGCGUAGACGGCGUAGCAAGUCUGAAGUGAAAUGCCGGGGCUUAACCUCGGAACUGCUUUUGAUACUGUUUUGCUAGAGUGCAGGAGAGGUAAGCGGAAUUCCUAGUGUAGCGGUGAAAUGCGUAGAUAUUAGGAGGAACACCAGUGGCGAAGGCGGCUUACUGGACUGUAACUGACGUUGAGGCUCGAAAGCGUGGGGAGCAAACAGGAUUAAAUACCCUGGUA